rnacentral:misc_RNA from 1 species
CAAUAAGAGUGUUUAUGGCACUCUUCCAAAAACAUCCAUACCCACCUUGUGUGCAACGUAAGAAGAAAAAAAAAAAUUAGCGUGAGUCAUGGAUGCAAGUCCAAGCCUUGCCUUUUUUUUCUUUUCUUUUCCACAUACACCUUUUUAUGUUCCUAUUGUCUGAAGCUGUUAGAGAAUGACUAAUUCUUAAACA